UUUGGAGGGCAAGUCUGGUGCCAGCAGCCGCGGUAAUUCCAGCUCCAAUAGCGUAUAUUAAAGUUGUUGCAGUUAAAAAGCUCGUAGUUGAAUUUCGGGAUCAAUAUAUCGGUCGUGCCUUGGUACGUACUGGUAUCAUUGGUUUCUCCUUUCUGACGAACCAUGAUGUCAUUAAUUUGGUGUUAUGGGAAGUUAGGACUGUUACUUUGAAAAAAUUAGAGUGUUUAAAGCAGGCUUUAGCCUGAAUACAUUAGCAUGGAAUAAUGAAAUAGGACGUUCGAACCUAUUUUGUUGGUUUCUAGGAUCAACGUAAUGAUUAAUAGGGAUAGUUGGGGGCAUUAGUAUUCAAUUGUCAGAGGUGAAAUUCUUGGAUUUAUUGAAGACUAACUACUGCGAAAGCAUUUGCCAAGGAUGUUUUCAUUAAUCAAGAACGAAAGUUAGGGGAUCGAAGACGAUCAGAUACCGUCGUAGUCUUAACCAUAAACUAUGCCGACUAGGGAUCGGAUGAUGUUAAUUUUUUAAUGACUCAUUCGGCGCCUUACGGGAAACA
rnacentral:rRNA from 1 species